CCGGAAAGAUAGAGGGGGUAAAGGCCUACCAUGGCGACGAUCUGUAGCUGGUCUGAGAGGAUGAUCAGCCACACCGGGACUGAGACUCGGCCCGGACUCUACGGGAGGCAGCAGUGGGGAAUAUUGGACAAUGGGGGAAACCCUGAUCCAGCCAUGCCGCGUGUGUGAAGAAGGCCUUUUGGUUGUAAAGCACUUUAAGCAGUGAAGAAGACUCUUCGGUUAAUACCCGGAGACGAUGACAUUAGCUGCAGAAUAAGCACCGGCUAACUCUGUGCCAGCAGCCGCGGUAAUACAGAGGGUGCAAGCGUUAAUCGGAAUUACUGGGCGUAAAGCGAGCGUAGGUGGCUUGAUAAGUCAGAUGUGAAAUCCCCGGGCUUAACCUGGGAACUGCAUCUGAUACUGUCAGGCUAGAGUAGGUGAGAGGAAGGUAGAAUUCCAGGUGUAGCGGUGAAAUGCGUAGAGAUCUGGAGGAAUACCGAUGGCGAAGGCAGCCUUCUGGCAUCAUACUGACACUGAGGCUCGAAAGCGUGGGUAGCAAACAGGAUUAGAUACCCUGGUAGUCCACGCCGUAAACGAUGUCUACUAGUCGUUGGGUCCCUUGAGGACUUAGUGACGCAGCUAACGCAAUAAGUAGACCGCCUGGGGAGUACGGCCGCAAGGUUAAAACUCAAAUGAAUUGACGGGGGCCCGCACAAGCGGUGGAGCAUGUGGUUUAAUUCGAUGCAACGCGAAGAACCUUACCUGGUCUUGACAUAUCUAGAAUCCUGCAGAGAUGCGGGAGUGCCUUCGGGAAUUAGA
rnacentral:rRNA from 1 species